AUUGAACGCUGGCGGCAUGCCUUACACAUGCAAGUCGAACGGCAGCGGGGGAGAAGCUUGCUUUUCCUGCCGGCGAGUGGCGAACGGGUGAGUAAUACAUCGGAACGUGCCCUGUAGUGGGGGAUAUCUAGUCGAAAGAUUAGCUAAUACCGCAUACGACCUGAGGGUGAAAGUGGGGGACCGCAAGGCCUCAUGCUAUAGGAGCGGCCGAUGCCUGAUUAGCUAGUUGGUGGGGUAAAGGCCUACCAAGGCGACGAUCAGUAGCUGGUCUGAGAGGACGAUCAGCCACACUGGGACUGAGACACGGCCCAGACUCCUACGGGAGUCAGCAGUGGGGAAUUUUGGACAAUGGGCGAAAGCCUGAUCCAGCAAUGCCGCGUGUGUGAAGAAGGCCUUCGGGUUGUAAAGCACUUUUGUCCGGAAAGAAAUGGCUCUGGUUAAUACCUGGGGUCGAUGACGGUACCGGAAGAAUAAGGACCGGCUAACUACGUGCCAGCAGCCGCAGUAA
rnacentral:rRNA from 1 species